UGCAAGACAAAAACCUGCUUAAAGCUUGGCUUGUGAAACUUGGAACCGGUAAAGAGCCACCGCCUAUAUCUCGGGUAUGCAGCGAGCACCGACGCGAGGAAGAUUUCUGAUACGGCGUCAGGACUACGAUGUUCGGUAAGCAGCUCCUCCUGGCUGACAUGCUGUCACAUGCCACAACCAAGACAACGGCCUGCGACCUCGACAGCAACGAUGUAAAGGUACAUGCCGGCACAAAAGCGGCGUGGCAGAAGACAAAGAAACCCCUUUGAAAAACGCUAUACGAAGCAUUCCGUGCCCUCUGUGAACCUGACGCGAAUACCAUAGAA